GGAGUUUAGCGUGCUCGCGAGUCAUUGGGUGUUGCGAAACCUAAAGGCGAAAUGAAAGUAAAGAGAGUCUCUGCAACGACUCUCGAGGGAGGAUGAGCUACUGCUCUCUGGCUUUUUGUCUAACCGACGGCCGAGCGUGUCUCCGCACUCCCGGGGCGAUUCUUUCUCAUUGCGAGUGGAGGCGCACCAAGAGCGAGCACGCUGAAACCCGAAAGAUGGUGAACUAUGCCUGGCCAGGACGAAGCCAGGGGAAACCCUGGUGGAGGUCCGCAGCGAUUCUGACGUGCAAAUCGAUCGUCGGAGCUGGGUAUAGGGGCGAAAGACCAAUCGAACCAUCUAGUAGCUGGUUCCCUCUGAAGUUUCCCUCAGGAUAGCUUGCGCUCGGGAGAGAAGAGUCUCAUCCGGUAGAGCGAAUGAUUAGAGGCCUUGGGGUCGAAACGACCUCAACCUAUUCUCAAACUCCAAAUAGAUGAGAAACCCGGCUUGCUUGAAUUUUUAUUUUUUUUCGGUUUUUUUUUAAACCGCAUUUGAAGCCGCGGGUAACUCGGAUCAGAGUGCCAAGUGGGCCAAUUUUG
rnacentral:rRNA from 1 species